UGGCUAUAUCAUGUUGAAACACUGGUUCCCAUACAAUCACCGAAGUUGAGCAAUAUUGAGCUUAGUCAGUACCUUGAUGGGUGAGUGCUUGGCAAUCCCAGGUUCUGUA